UACGGGGGGGGCAAGCGUUGUUCGGAAUUACUGGGCGUAAAGGGCGCGUAGGCGGUUUGCUAAGUUGAAUGUGAAAACUCUGGGCUUAACCCAGAGCCUGCAUUCAAUACUGGCAGGCUAGAGUUCUGGAGGGGAUAGCGGAAUUCCUGGUGUAGCGGUGAAAUGCGUAGAUAUCAGGAGGAACACCGGUGGCGAAGGCGGCUAUCUGGACAGAGUCUGACGCUGAUGCGCGAAAGCUAGGGGGAGCGAACGGG
rnacentral:rRNA from 1 species